rnacentral:rRNA from 1 species
GAGUUUGAUCGUGGCUCAGGAUGAACGCUGGCGGCGUGCCUAAUACAUGCAAGUCGAGCGAACAGACGGGGAGCUUGCUCCCCUGACGUUAGCGGCGGACGGGUGAGUAACACGUGGGUAACCUACCUAUAAGACUGGAAUAACUCCGGGAAACCGGGGCUAAUGCCGGAUAACAUGUUGGACCGCAUGGUCCUACAGUGAAAGACGGUCUUGCUGUCACUUAUAGGUGGACCCGCGCCGUAUUAGCUAGUUGGUAAGGUAACGGCUUACCAAGGCAACGAUACGUAGCCGACCUGAGAGGGUGAUCGGCCACACUGGAACUGAGACACGGUCCAGACUCCUACGGGAGGCAGCAGUAGGGAAUCUUCCGCAAUGGACGAAAGCCUGACGGAGCAACGCCGCGUGAGUGAUGAAGGCCUUCGGUCGUAAAC